CUAAAAUCUGCAAGGUCUUUGCAGGUGAGAUUGUUGAGGAUUUCUAAGCUCCUAUCUUGGAAUAAUUUGGGCUCUCUUAUGAAAUGCCUUGCUAUGUGGUAUAGGAGAGUGGCACAAGCGUCUUCUUUUGCGACUUGCUCUAGAACAUCUUGGCCAUUUUCACUCCUGACCACUGUUUCUAUGGUCGUGGCUCCAUAGAUAAGUUUUUUAAUGUCAUCAGUGAAGUAGUUGUCCCACCAAUGUUUUAUCAUACCAUUGAAACCUGAUACGAUCAUGGUAGC
rnacentral:lncRNA from 1 species